GACGAACGCUGGCGGCGUGCCUAAUACAUGCAAGUCGAGCGUAUGGAAGGGAGCUUGCUCCCUGAAGUUAGCGGCGGACGGGUGAGUAACACGUGGGCAACCUGCCUGUAAGACUGGGAUAACUUCGGGAAACCGGAGCUAAUACCGGAUACGUUCUUUCCUCGCAUGAGGAAAGAUGGAAAGAUGGUUUCGGCUAUCACUUACAGAUGGGCCCGCGGCGCAUUAGCUAGUUGGUGGGGUAAUGGCCCACCAAGGCGACGAUGCGUAGCCGACCUGAGAGGGUGAUCGGCCACACUGGGACUGAGACACGGUCCAGACUCCUACGGGAGGCAGCAGUAGGGAAUCUUCCGCAAUGGACGAAAGUCUGACGGAGCAACGCCGCGUGAGCGAAGAAGGCCUUCGGGUCGUAAAGCUCUGUUGUCAGGGAAGAACAAGUGCCAGAGUAACUGCUGGCACCUUGACGGUACCUGACCAGAAAGCCACGGCUAACUACGUGCCAGCCGCCGCCGUAAGAC
rnacentral:rRNA from 1 species